rnacentral:lncRNA from 1 species
GGUGGUGAAACUUCCGAUAAGGGUAAGGAGAUUGUACCCGAAGACCGGGACUAGGAGUACUUCGACUCCCAAUAUUGUGAGUAACCAUAUUAUCGUCUUAAUUAUCUAAAGUAGUUUUUAUUCAUUUUUAUGAUUUUAUAGAAAAAUGAGUUUAAAUGGUAAAUCCUUAUGUUUUAUAAGUAAAAUGUGAUUAAAUGAAAUGAGUUUUAUAAAUCAUUUUGAAAUUGAAUGAUGAUUUUAGAAAUUGAGUAAUUAGAGACUAUUUGAUUGUGUUGUAAAUUUAUGGUUUGAAUUGAAUGGCUUAUGGUGAUAUUGGCAUGAAUGGUUGAAUUGGAAACUAUGUUGAAAUUGUAUGAACUAUUUGUUUUGCCUUAACAGGCUGGGUAGUAAUAUAAUUGCCAUGUCAUGCUGUUGAAACUUUUAUUGAUUUGGUGGGAUAUUGAUUAGUCACUGCAGUGGCGGGUUUUCGUGGACGAGCCUAUUAGAGAGGGGCACGGUAAACCCCGAUUAUAUUUUACCUCAGUGCGAAAGGCGUGAAGGGUAUCUCUUGAGGUAAAGCUUUAGAGUUCACUACACGCUAAACCACCACGUGAGGAUGAACUCAGCCAACGCCAAGGAACGGCUAUACUUUUAAACGUAAAAAUGUGUUUUAUGCGUAUAUGAACUUUUCUUUAACAGCCUUGGUGGACUCAGUUGGAUGCCUGGGCCAAGGUAUCCCUGAGAAUGAGUUUUGGCACGAGCUAAUUUUUUAAUAAAUUCAUAAGCCAUGUUGAUUAUUUGAGUGAAAUUAAAUUAUUUUAUUUAGCUGAAUC